rnacentral:lncRNA from 1 species
GCAGCUUUCCCACCCCAGAGCUGGGUGUGGCCGACAGGCAGGUUGUUCAUGAGCUCGCCGCCUGGGACAUUUGAGAAGGAACUGCAGGAUGUGAUGGAGUCCUUGAGAGGCCCUUGCAUCUGUGGCCCCGCUCAAUCCCUGCAGCUCGUGCCUUUCCUCAGCCCUCUCCCUCUCCAGCACAGCCUCUCAGGUCCCUGCGGGAAUAGAGCUGAUGUUCAUGAGGGGCGCUGGCCCCACUGCAGGGACAGGUGACGUAAGGGUCACACUGGCGUCAUCCCCUAGACAGCCAAGGAUCCAGAUUCCACCACACCUGCUGUAAGGGACUGGCCUCACCACUGCCUUGCUCUCAGCUCCUGUCACCCCUGUGUGCAGCACACUGGGGAUGCAGGGAGGACAGAAACCUCAGACACAGCGCGGUCGCCAGGUUCCAAGGCCUGGAGAGUUCCUACAACAACCUGCCCGCUGCGCAGUUACUCCAUUCCCUUCCCCUGGGCCCGCUGUGAGGCCCUGUCUUUCCAUGUCCUUUUGUUCCUGUGGAGAGAGCCGCCCUCUCUGUGUCCUGGGCCCGGCACCCCCUGUGGAGCCUUCUGAUGGGACAAGGGACCAUGGUUAGGAGGGGGGAGUGCUAGAUGGGGCCUCCUCUGUCACUGCAGCCCUCGGGCUCGGGUGGGUGACUGUUCUGUUUAGGGCCAGUCCUGUCUGGGCACUGCCAACCAAGCAUCCCCAGGGACACAGAAGGUGAGGUCUCCUGCAUGCACACGAUGUCUCCCUCUGGGCCUGCAUCACUCAGUGGUGCCACCCACAGGCGGGGACGUCAGAAAUGGGUGCUGUGGGAGAGCACAGCAAAGGGAGAAGCGCAGCUGUGUGUCCUGAAGGCUCUUCUCCUUUCAGCUGCCCCCAGGUAGCCUGGCCACGAGGGCUUCCCAGCCAAGCAUGGGAGGUGCCCGUGGACUCAUACUUCCCCGGGAACAACUGUGUGGGAACGCAGCCUGCUCAGCACCUUGACUCUGGAGCUGGCAGAGUGGCCCUGGGCCUUUGCUCUGCCCCCUGGAGAUUCACAGCCCACACUGAUGCUGGACAGCAGUGGCUGCUCUCCUCAGAGCUGAAUGUGGAUGCUUCCCUUGGAUUGAAGAACCCUCCCAAUGCAGAGCGUGAUGCUCUCGAAGGCUCAGGAUGUUCCACCCAUGAGAUUCUGGCCCACGGCCUUCCUGAUCCAGCCACUGCCCUGAGACAGACGAUGAUGAAAAGGAAACCACGGUUCCGCCAGUGGGAAAUGACCUGCAGAUUCCCAGGCCCUGAGCUUAGGGCACAGAGUCUCAGUUCUGCUCUUCCCACGGCUGCUGUCCUGACAGCCCAGUAACUGCCGCAGGGAAGCCCAGUGGGACUGUCAUCCUCCUCACACGAAGGGCCGCGUUCCCUGAGGCCACACAGCUCCUUGGCUUUUCUGCCUUGCCUUCCCGGCUUGGCCAGCUCCACCACCUCUUCCUCCCGGGAGCAGGGCCUCACCAAUCACGUGCACUCAGCUCCCCUUCUUGGCCUC